CUCCCGUUGUACUACGCAUAAUAAUGUUUAAAAAGUCAAAUAUUAUUCUCCAGACAUUUACCCUACAGAUGCUCACUCAUAGCGCCCCGGGAACAGAUGUUGCUUUCAUCAGAAACCGGACAACGCUCAGCUCAGCUCAGCUCCUCCGAGCUUCAAUACCAGUUGGCUUCCUCGCCGCUUUAUACCGCGGCGAGGUGACCUUGCGCAGCCCCGUAGUAGCUAAUUUGUCUUCGCUUCGUUUUAAGUACCGCACGCUGCAAAUUCUAGGCAGGCAGAUGCACCAAAUUGCAGGAUAAUUUAAAAAAAACAACAACACUCUGCACAGAUGCUGCGUUCAGGAAUUCGCCGAUACAGUAGGUAGCCACUAAUCGUCGCUCCAUCUCCGACCGCGGUCGUUAAGAGCUGAGCUCAGCGGUGCCAGUUACCCAAAAAUAAAACACAACCAUGACAGUAUUAUACAGCGAUACUUGCAGUGAGUUGCGAUCCUCCGUAGGUCUCACCCAGUGAGUGGUGUGGGAGGGGGGGGGAGGAGAAAAAACGCGUUUAUUCUGUCGUAGCCCGUCCCUGCUCCAUCGCUUAGCUCACAUUGCGUCUCCCCGCAGGGAGCACUUCCGCUCCCUCUGAGACAGCCCCGCCUACCCAACACGCAUUUUGCGCAACUUAUGAGCCCGAGACAUACCUUCUCUGGGAGGGACAGCGAUCGUCCGAAGACAUGCUGGAAGGUUAAGUGGAUUCCGGGAAAACUGGCCCAGGUGCAAGUGUGUGUUUGUGCCUGUCUACCCUGCGAUGGACUGGCGUCCUGUCCAGGGUGUACCCUGCCUUGCACCCACUGCCUGCCAGGAUGGGCCCCAGCUCCCUUGCAACUCAGGACCCUAAAUUGGACAACGAGGUGAGAAGUUGAGACACAGGCACCUUAAGAUCUGUUUAGACCUGCCAAACCUCCAAAGGCCGCAAUUGUCAGCAGUCACAGGCUCUGGUUAGCUG